CCCCUUCCUGCUGGGGAGGCACACCCAGGGGUGCCAGCCAUUUGGAACCUCACACUCCAUUUAUUUCAGCAUCCCCAGGACAUGGGAGGGUCAUUGCUCAGGGUUUGUGAACCCACAGGGGGGUGAAAUGUGGGAUCCAGCAGCUCAGGGGGUGAUGGGCACACUACUACUAAACCAAUCUCUGGAAACAUCUCUGCUGCUCUGCCUCUGAGCAGGGAGAUCCAGCAGGGAGUGCUGCUGUUGCUGGAUUUUCCUGCCCCUCAGACAGGGCUGCAGGGCUGGGCUGUGCAGUUUGAGCUGGCAUCUGGAGCUGUUUGCUGUUUGCCCCUGCCAGGCUGCCCCUGGAGUGCAGCCACAUCCAGCUGCUGGAGGGUGGCAGCUCCAGGGCCACCAGCUUCUCCAUCCAGCUGUUCCAGAUGCUGAACCACUCCGUGGCCUACCUGCACUGCGAGCUGAGGGUGUGCCUGCCCGGCCAGCCAGGAUGUGAGCAGGACUGCUUGGGAAGUGUGGAGCCCCUUGCCCAGCCCAGUGACAGGACCAGCCAUGGAAACCUGCACAGGCUGGUCUCCCUCGGGCCCGUCUGGAGGAUGGACAACAGGUUUCUGUACAAGGCAGAGGAAGGUGCUGCUCCUGCCGCGUUGCUGCCCAUCCUGCUGGGGGCCCUGGCGGGCUGUGCUGUCCUGGGCGCUGCUUUCAUGGGGCUGUGGCUGCACCAGCGGCACAGAGCCAAGCCCAGCCGUCAUCCCGUGCCUGGAGAAGUCCCCGGGCUGUGAUCCCAGCAGCUGAACUGCUCCUGCAGCUCCCCCGGCCGCCAGAGAAGCAGCUGGGUUUGCUUUGCUUCUGUAGAGCUCC
rnacentral:lncRNA from 1 species